GGAGGAGCAGAAGAGGCAAGUUAAAGGAAAGGAAGUUAGGAACCAUGCAGAGGAGCGGUUUUUGAGAAACAACAAUCUCCGGUUUGGGGCAUAAUAGGUGCUCAAUGGAGUCCCCUGUUUCCACACCAGCAGUGCUGCCAAUACACCUUUUGGUGCCAGUGGUCAACAAUGACAUCUCAUCUCCUUGUGAGCAGAUCAUGGUUCGUACCCGAUCAGUUGGGGUCAACACAUGUGAUGUGGCUCUAGCCACAGAGCCUGAGUGCUUGGGCCCCUGUGAACCGGGAACUAGCGUCAACCUUGAAGGCAUUGUGUGGCAGGAAACAGAAGAUGGGAUGUUGGUGGUAAAUGUAACGUGGAGGAACAAGACAUAUGUAGGUACACUCCUUGACUGCACACGACAUGAUUGGGCACCCCCAAG
rnacentral:sRNA from 1 species